ensembl:rRNA 5S_rRNA 5S ribosomal RNA
GCUUACGGCCACACCGGCCUGAGUACGCCUGAUCUCGUCCGAUCUCGGAAGCUAAGCAGGGUCGGGCCUGGUUAGUACUUGGAUGGGAGACCCCCUGGGAAUACCAGGUGCUGUAAGCU